GAUUGGGGAAAAUUCAGGAAAAAACCAGAAUUAUUUUUUCUUAUUUUUACUUUUAUUUUUAUUUAUUUAAUUUAUAUUUCUUUAAUUUUUUGGGUUCCAGGGGGAAUUUUUUGAGUUCCAGAGGGAAUUUUUUGGGUUCCAGAGGAUUUUUUUGUAUCCCAGAGUGAUUUUUUUGUGUCCCAGAGGGAAUUUUUUUAUCCCAAAGGGAAUUUUUUGAGUUCCAGAAGUGAAUUUUUUGUAUCCCAAAGGGAAUAUUUUGUGUCCCAAAGGGAAUAUUUUGGAUCUCAAAUGGAAUAUUUUGUAUCCCAAAGGCAAUUUUUGCAUCCCAAAGGGAAUUUUUUGUGUCCUAGAGGUUAUUUUUUCAGUUCUAGAGGGUUUUUCUGUGUUCCAGAGUGAAUUUUUUGAGUUCCAGAGUGAAUUUCUUGUAUCCCAAAGGGAAUAUUUUGUAUCCCAAAGGGAAUUUUUUGCAUCCCAAAGGGAAUAUUUUGUGUCCCAGAGGGGAUUUUUUUGUAUCUCAAAGGGAGUAUUUUGUAUCCCAAAGGGAAUAUUUUGGAUCUCAAAGGGAAUAUUUUGGAUCUCAAAGGGAAUAUUCUGUGUCCCAGAGGGAUUUUUUGUCCCCCAGAGGGAUUUUUUGUGUUCCAGAGUGAAUUUUUUGGAUUCCAGAGUGAAUAUUUUGUAUCCCAAAGGGAAUUUUUUGUAUCUCAAAGGGAAUAUUUUGUAUCUCAAAGGGAAUAUUUUGGAUCCCAAAGGGAAUAUUUUGGAUCUCAAAGGGAAUAUUUUGUGUCCCAGAGGGAUUUUUUGUGUUCCAGAGUGAAUUUUUUGUGUCCCAAAGUGAA